rnacentral:rRNA from 1 species
UCACGUAAAAUUUUAAUAGUCGAACAGACUAAAUCAAUUAAGCUCCUUCACCCAAAAUUUAUUUUAAUUCAACAUCGAGGUCACAAUCCCAAUUAUUAAUAAGAACUCUCUAAUUAAAUUAUGCUGUUAUCCCUAAAGUAACUUAUUUUAUAAACAAAUAUUCAUAUAAAAAUCUCUUUCUUCAUUUAUUGCCCCAAUAAAAAACUAUUUCCAAUUUCAAGCUUUUAGGGUCUUCUCGUCCCUAAAAGCAAAUAAAGCAUUUUUACCUCAAAUUAAAAUUCAAUUUAUUAUAAUAAAACCCUCCUCUAUAGUCACUACCUUUCAUUCCAGCCCCCAAUUAAAGAA